GGAUCGUGGUGGCUGCGCUUGCGAGGACCCUGAGGUAGAUUGGGUGGUUUCAACAGGAACGCAUCCACUGUCUGAGAGGUGGCAAUUGAAGCCGGAAGAACAUCUACCAAGAGCAGAGAACCCAGGAAGAAAAUUCUGCCUCUUUAAUACGUUCCAAUAUGGACGUUUUCCAUAUAGAUACCUAUCUAUAUAGAUAGAUGCUCUGGGAUCUGACGGUCCUGGACACCUUUUAAACUUGAUUUUGUGAGGGGACGAACAGCGUGACAAUUAAAAGAAGAUCUGGGAAUCAUCCAAUGUGAUAAUUUAUGUGAAAUCUUUCUGCAAACUAUACAGUAUGAUAAAAAUAUAAGGUAGUUUCACUGGAAACAACAGAAGACUAGAAGCUGAUGUGACGUGGCAAUAUCAACCAGGAAUACCCAUCUCGAGUUCUGGAUAUGUGCUCUGAGAAGGUGCCCAUGUCACCGACCACACUGGAGGCCAAUGCAGAUACUGGGGGAAGGUUCCAUGGUAGCUAAGUGUGGACAAGCUAAUCACUGAAGUUCCCUGAUGCAGAGUUGAUAAUCUCUCUAGAGUUGGAUGAAAGACUGUGCUGCCUUGAAGCUCUGAGAGAUGCCAUGCCAAUUCAAGGCAGGGUCUUUAUUGUUGAAACUCUUGCGUAAUGACAUCUUUAUUCAGGUGAAAAUACAGGAUGAAUUUCAACUAUAUGAUAUUGUUUAUGUUCCUCAGACAUGUUAUUUGUCUUUACAAAGAUUGGUUUCAAUAAACUGUGUGACUGAUAUUAAAUAAACAUGGAAUUUUACACAUUCAUAA
rnacentral:lncRNA from 1 species